UCGUGUAAGUCCUACAUAAAACUAAAUGGUAAUAAUGAAAUUAUAGAACGUGCAAUUGAUCAUAACCAUAUCAAAGAUUCUGCUGAACUGUUUAAUAGACAACAACUGAGUUUUUGAGACAAAAUAUGAAAAUGGCCAAUUAACUCGUCUCGAUUAUAUUAAAAAAGUAUCGUUCAAGUUUUUACCAAUUUUUUAAUUUUUAUAUUUUUUUUGAUUAUAAUUAUUACAUUUAAAUUACUUCUAAUUGCAUAAUAACGACAAAAAUCAAUAUUUUUAACCUAUCGAUAGUAAUAGUUUUCUAUUGACAGUCCUAAAUCUGUAUAAAAUGGGAAGGAAUGUAAUUUUUUUUACGUUGGGAUGAAAUUCGUGUAGUGGUUAA